CAUUCUCUGAUGGUGAUUCACUUCCUUUAUCAUCUUCAGGCAGCUUGAAGUGCACCCGGAGACCUAUCUUGGAACUCGAUCUGGGUUCAUUGUGGUUCACAAGAACACCUUCAAGUUUAGGUGUUCAGAUUCAUGUGACGACAGCUGGAAGCUAAGCAAAUAUAAAGACACUCGAUUUAUACCCAGAACUGAUAUUUCAUAAUUCUACCAUUUGCGGACAUCCUGCUACAAUGUCAGAGCAGCAUUCUUUUUUACCCUAAGAAUUACUUCACGAUUUAAUGAGAGGUAGAGUCUGUUCCAUAGAUGUUUGAAGCAAAGCACGAGUAACGUCCUGUAUCCUCCUCAAAAGCUUCAACAAUAACCAAUGAGUGUUGGUCACCUGUCUGGAUAAUUUGAAUGUCUGGUGAGUUUUCAAGCUCCUUCCCUUCACAGUACCACCUGCAAGGCAAAAUACACUGUUUAUCAAUGCAAUCAACUUGACAAAUAUAAUGACAUUCUUCAAAGUCUUUCUGAUGAUAAAAGGAGUGGGUGUUAGUCUGAAGAUUCUGACAGAGUAUUGCGGGUAAGUGUAGAAUCAAUAGUCACAGGAAUAAAAUAUUUAUUUUUUUCAUAAUAUUCAAUACAGUAAAUAAUAGAGCUCCUUUCUUUGCAGUAUUUAAACAUACUAAGAAACUAAUGUAUAUAAGCGAUUCUAGCACAUGUUUUUCUUGAUACACAGAUUUCAAUAGUAGAGUAGAAGAGCUCUGAAUUUGGAAUGCUGUCAAUUCAGCUCUGAAUUUCUCUUGAUUCAGAUCUGUGUUGUGGCUUAAACUGUAGGAAAAUGAAAAACACACCUAAGUAAACAAUUCCCCUCAAACUUGUGAUUCCAAAGUUCACGUUCAUUCAGAAUGUGACUGAAAUUUACUAUAAUAUUGUUCUCUGUUUUAUCAUAUAUUUAAAACAAUCUGCUUUUUAUAAAAGAUGGCAUAAGUGUAUUACAAGGAAAGAGAAGUGAUUUAUUACAAUAUAGAGGCAUUUCCUUACAAGGACAUGGGCAGUGAUACAGCUGGACCUUGAAUUCUUUUCUGCAUCAUACUGCUGUAUUUCUCUCUUAAACUCAGCUAUACAUCCAAGAACAUACUCAGCCCUUUAGAGACGUCAUGCUUUCAUCUAAGGCAUUCCUAUGUGCCUUAGUGUUCAGAAGGGUUAUUUCAGUAGAAAAUGCAGGAAUCCAAGCAAAAGUAAAACCAGCACCUAAAAAGCACCAAAUGACAGUAACCAUCACUCAAUCUGAGAGCUAGUAACAGAGGAGAGCAGGCCUGAUUUAUUGCUAUUGCUUGUUAAUAUGAAGACAGAACAGAAAAAGAAAAAGCAGAUGGGUUUGCAGAACCAGAUUAAAAUUUAAUAAGACGAUCUAGGUUUUAUAGAGAAGCUGUAGUACUAUGCCUAGGGAUCCAGAGUUAAAUGUUUAGGAUAAUACUCAGAAAUAGCUGUAUGUUUUUUUGAUAAUUAACUGAAUUUGAAGAACCAAACUAAGGUGCUUUUGUGUUUUUACUAUAACCUUUCUCAUAAGCAUAGAUAGAUAUAAAACUUCACAAAAAUAUUUGUAUUUUCUGUUUACUGCUGCUUUCUUAACUACAUAUGGUUGAUUAAUGCAUCUUGUGCAUUGUG